CGCCUGCACAGCCUUUCCCCAUGUCGGAGCGGCGGCCUGAGGCAGCGGGAGCCAGGUACUGCAAUGACUGCAGGAGUUUUGCUGCAAAAUGAACUACCGUAUUCUUCGCUGCUAGAGAGCAGUCUAUAUCUUGCAAAUAUGAGUUCAGGUAAUAAUUUUUCUCUGAUACGCCAUUCCUAAAAAGUGCUUAGAGAAAUUCUGGGGAAAAAAAAAAAAUUCUACAGAAAAUUAAAAAAAUCCUAGAAAUAGUAUCCCCAAUUAUAAACAUAAAAUGCCUAUAACAAAACCAAAUGGCAUUACUUUCCAUCGUCAUGAUGUGUUAAUACGUUGAGCUUUUCUAACCUUGAUAUUGUCAGGUCUCUUAAUUGAAGAACUAUGUGAUUUUUGUGUUCAGAAACUGCCUAGCUCUAUGAAAAUACAAACACAUCUUCAACAAAAUGCCUCUUUCUAAUAAAGUAUUUAAGCUCUUCUGAGAUGUAAUUCUUUCUUACUAUUUUGGGUGAGUACUUGCAAAUCCUGCUAGAUUCAGUAGGAAAAUAAUGAUGUGCAGCAUUUUAUUUUGCUCAUUUCUGGCUCUACUGUAAUUUGAUACAUACUGAAGAAAAGUUUCUGGGAAGAGAAAAAGAAUUAAAUAUAAGAAAGCAAUAGAAUGAAUUAGAAAUUUUUUUUCAUGUCUGCUGAAUAUAGGUAGCAUUUGCAAUAGCCUUUUUCAUCUCCUUUCUCUUCCACCCAGCCCCUCAAAUAAAAGCAGCACUCAAUUCCUGUUCAGUGCCUAGAAGAAGCAGUAGAUUGUUGCCUCAUGAAUUUUUAUCAGAAGAGUGCUUUCUCUUACGCAAAUUCCUCUGUAAGAGUUAGUGUUUUCGUAGUACAAAAAGAAGUGUCACAGACUGAAGAUAGUAUAUGUUCUUAGGAAAAUGCAAUAGGAUUGAUUUGCUUAUUGAACAAAUUUUGGUGAGUUUUCUUGAUUUCCCCAGUUUCUCUCUCUUUAGCAUGCAGUCUAAUUCACAGACAAUGGGAUGACAAAGUUUUUAGCAUUGCUAUAGUCUGUUCUCCACAUAGUUGCAUGAGAGUUUUGUGCUUUUGAGAGUGUUGCAGUCUUUUUGGCCAGCUCAUUCUCCUUCUUAGCACACUGGAAGCAAGGUGGGAGGCAAUUUACCACGUAAUAUCUACCUUCAAAAGCCUAAAGCACUCAAAUGAUACAUCUUCUCCUCCCUGUAAUCUGCUUUAUCUCAGUCUGUAGGGCUAACAGCUUUGCUUAAUAAAAAAGCUGUGCCCUGAAAAAAAAGCAGCCUUUUGUUUUGAAUAACAAAUUGUGUUUUGUUAGAAGAUAUGAAUGGUCCAGAGUGAACAGUCUACAAUUCAUCAUGUUCUGAACCAUUUCAGUAGGAACACACUAAUCCCAAUCAUUACAGAGCUAAUGAUGCAUUUUGGAGCAACUAAGUGGAGGAGGAGAGGUGGUUGUGGAAUGUUAAACCAAGAGGUGGGGGAGUAUAAUGUACUUGCAGAUUUCUCAGGAAGCGGAGCCUCCAGCUACAUUUUGAUUGUUCUUUUGAAUCUAGUAUUUUGUAUCUUAGCGAGUUCUGAAUGCGUGUUAUUUACAACUAACUAAAUACUCACAUUGUUUAUGGAAAAUGUUUUGGUUGUUCCCAGUCGGUUUUCAAAAUUAUCUACUUGAAAUGCAACUAUUUUCAUCAAGCAGUGGAACAAUUUGUACUGAACAGACUCAAUUCCUAUAGAAUAGAGCAGCCCCAAGGAUAGCUGGCAGCAGCGCCUUCAUUGUUAGUUCCUAUGGAGACAGCUCAGCCCAUGCUGACUAGCUGCUGGAGCGUACAGAAGGAUGCACAGCUCUCCGCAACUUCAGCGCUGAGCAACUUGGAUUUCCUACCAGUGCGUCCCCAGCAGCCUUUCUAGACAGUAGCUGGGGCUGGUCAGUCAUGCAGGGUUCACCCAGAAGGCGUUCAGCAGUGAGUAUUUUUAGCAACUUUUUCCAGGGUCGGAGGCAUUCUUCCUCUGAUCCCCUUCUUCGCAUAAUCCAGAGGCGCCGGAGCUCAGUUGUAGAGGUACUCUCAUCGUCGACUCACCGGGUUAUGGUGGCGGUAUCGUCUCUGAGCCCUGAGGAGCUGGAUGCAACUUUUCCUGAAAAAAAAAGAAGUUCGAGGCGUCCGACAGCAAAAUACACUAAAGUAGGGGAGCACCUUCGCCAUGUCAUUCCUGGCCACAUGCAGUGCUCAAUGGCAUGUGGUGGACGUGCUUGCAAGUAUGAAAAUCCAGCUCGAUGGAGUGACCGAGAGCAAGCCAUUAAAGGGCUCUACUCUUCUUGGAUAACAGAUAACAUACUGGCUACGGCUCGACCCUCAACAGAAUUAAUUGAGAAGUACAACAUUAUCGAACAGUUUGAAAGAUGUGGCAUAAAAACCAUAAUUAACCUUCAGCGUCCUGGGGAGCAUGCGAGCUGUGGGAAUCCGCUGGAACAAGAAAGCGGCUUCACCUACCUUCCUGAAGCUUUCAUGGAGGCUGGAAUUUAUUUUUAUAAUUUUGGAUGGAAGGAUUACGGAGUGGCAUCUCUCACCACCAUACUUGAUAUGGUAAAAGUCAUGGCUUUCGCGUUACAGGAAGGGAGGGUAGCUGUUCAUUGUCACGCAGGACUUGGUCGGACAGGUGUUCUCAUAGCUUGCUACUUAGUUUUUGCAACAAGAAUGAGCGCUGAUCAAGCAAUUCUUUUUGUUAGAGCAAAAAGGCCUAAUUCUAUUCAGACUAGAGGGCAGUUACUAUGCAUCAGAGAAUUCACUCAGUUUUUGGUUCCCCUGAGAAACGUAUUUGCGUGCUGUGAGCCCAAGGCACACACAGUGACACUGUCCCAGUACCUGACCCGUCAGAGACAUCUGCUCCAUGGUUAUGAGAGCAGGCAUCUCAAACACGUUCCAAAACUUAUUCAUCUAGUUUGCAAACUGUUGCUAGACUUGGCUGAAAACAGGCAAGUGAUAGAGGCAGAAUUGUUAGAUAUACCAGAUCUCUCUGCUGAAAUCGAAAAGACUGUUUCUCAGCUGGAGUCCACACAGCUAGACAGAGAACUCGCGAGGCAGGACAGUGACACGUCGGACUCCUCCCACACCCACUCGUCCACAUUUGAGACCCAGGAUUCUCUUUUCUCCCUGGGACAUGAAUGUGAUCCUCUUUGGAAAAGAAGGAAUGUCGAAUGCCUUCAGCCUCUCACUCAUCUAAAAAGGCGUCUAAGCUAUAGCGAGUCAGAUUUAAGGAGGACUGAGUUUCUCUUAGAACAAGGAGAAACCGCAUGGACAGUACCCGCUCAGAUAUUACUGUGCAACAAGCUGAAGCAGAACAGUGGUGAGGAAUGUUCUGCCACAGGCCAAGAAAAGCCACAGUUGGAUUUAAACAAAGAAGCAUUAGUGCGUAAUACGUGCAUGUUCUGGAGUCAAGGUAAAUUUAAUCUGGAUGGACGAAAACAUGGAUCCUCACUUUGUCACAGAAGGAACUCUACCAAAGAAGUACAACGCAGCAGAACCUUUUCUUCAGGCCUAGCAUCUAUCCACAAUACCGGAGAACCUGGAACGCCAAGGCAUAAUUUUACCGAUGAGAUUGGUCAUAGAAAAGACUGCAAGACUAAUAUGUAUAGCAGAAGAGUUUACAUCUCCGAGGACUCUGAUUCUUCGUCUUCUUCUAAAGUGAACUUUUCCAUUGGAUGUGAAAGCCAAGGUAGCAGAGAUGUGUCAGAAGCAAUUCCACACAUUGUUCUGCAGUCAGAAUUAAGUUUGGAAGCCCGAAGAGUUUUGGCAGCAAAAGCACUUGCAGAUAUAAAUGAAUUUCUGGGAGAGGAUGAAGUGAAGCAGAAGGUAGAAAUGUGGCAGAAAGAACUGAAUUCUCGAGAUGGAGCUUGGGAUAAAAUCUGUACUGAGAGAGAUCCUUUUAUCCUCUGUAACUUGAUGUGGUCCUGGAUAGAGCAGCUGAAAGAACCUAUUAUAUCCAAAGAUGAUAUUGACUUGCUGGCAAAAAAUUGCACAGAAUCACAGGAUGCACUUUACUUACUGAGAAAGGAACAGUGUCAGACUAUCCUUUGUAUUUUACACUGUGUGGUGAACUUGCAAAUGCUACCAGCUGAUGUGGAGGAGGCCUUACUUGCUCGUGCUAUUAAAGCUUUCACUAAGACCAGCUUUGAUUCUGAAAAUGGACCGUAUGUUUACAAUACCUUGAAAAAAGUAUUUAAACAAACACUGGAAGAAAGAAGAAAAAGGCUUAAGGAAGGACCAGAGAAUCCCUCUUGAUUUCUGCACAGCUAUGCCGAAGAAUUAGAUGGGCCUACCAAAUUAUUUUGCAUUUUCCAGCUACUGUAUUUUGUGCUAUCUAGCAUGAUUUAUCUAACUUGAGAAAUUUAAAAAUAAGACUAAGAGUAAUAAUGACCAGAUCUUGAGGUCUCCUGUUGGUAGCAGUUCCUCCAGCCUUAGGACUUCUGAUGGCUCCGGCAGUGUCCAUCCCAUCUACUGUUGGCGUUCAUGGCACAGCUUGUUCGUGGAGACAGUGGACUGUAUCCAUCAGACUGGCAGCAGCCACAGGGAGCAGCUCAGUGGCGGUGUUCGGGGCUCUGUAAUACACCACUAAUCACCACUUGCCAUGAGGUUUCUCUACCAGCCAUGCAGGAGAAUUGUAGCAGGACGGAGACUUGAUGACACUUCCCCAUUCUUCAGGUUCUUUUAUCACUUCAGGCACAGCCCAGGUGACAUCAGAAGGUGACUGGUGGUGUGGGAUAAAGGGGCAGGAGUGGGACCUCGUGCUACUGACCUGUUUGCAAGAGGUUGGCAGUCAGGGAUGUGUUGAUGGGAGGUAAACUGUAGGGCAGAGCGCAGGGUGCUCCUGUUCCCUUUUUCCCCAGGAGUUCCACAACUGACCCUUUAACCCAUCCCUACCUCACCCACGCCAGGGACCUUGAACUACCCCUUAGAUGGAAUUACCUGAGCCCUGGCCCAUGGGUGGGUAGUGAUUUGCCAUUGCCACCUUCAAGAGCAGCAAUUCGCUUGCAAAUUGGAGGCUGUCUUCUCUAAGAGUCCUACCACUGAGAUUUGGGUCCUGUGUCAGUAAGGAAUGCUGCAACAUAGCAAUCGCUCAUUGCAGCCAUCAUCAUCUUGGGAUGCAGUAAGGGUAGGGACCCCAAGGAUCACUCUCUAACGCCAG